rnacentral:rRNA from 1 species
AUUGAACGCUGGCGGCAGGCCUAACACAUGCAAGUCGAACGAGUGGCGGACGGGUGAGUAAUGUCUGGGAAACUGCCCGAUGGAGGGGGAUAACUACUGGAAACGGUAGCUAAUACCGCAUACCAUCGGAUGUGCCCAGAUGGGAUUAGCUGUUAGGUGAGGGAACGGCUCACCUAGGAGACGAUCCCUAGCUGGUCUGAGCGGAUGACCAACCACACUGGAACUGAGACACAGUCCAGAAUCCUACGGGAGGCAGCAGUAGGGAAUAUUGCACAAUGGACGCAAACCUGAUGCAGCCAUGCCGCGUGUAUGAAGAAAGCCUUCGGGUUGUAAAGUACUUUCAGCGGGGAGGCGUUAACCGCAGAAGAAGCACGGGCUAAAUCCGUGCCAGCAGCCGCGGUAAUAC